rnacentral:rRNA from 1 species
GGAGUUUGGGCCGUGUCUCAGUCCCAAUGUGGCCGUUCACCCUCUCAGGCCGGCUACUGAUCGCAGGCUCGGUGGGCCGUUACCCCGCCGACAACCUAAUCAGACGCAUCCCCAUCCCAUAGCGAUGAAUCUUUGCUUGACGUUAGAUGUCUGCUGUCAAGAACAUAGGGAAUUAAUCCGACUUUCGCCGGGCUGUGCCCUACUACGGGGAAGGUUGGAUACGCGUUACUCACCCGUGCGCCGGUCGCCAUCACAGAUAGCAAGCUACCUGCAUGCUGCCCCUCGACUUGCAUGUGUUAAGCCUGUAGCUAGCGUUCAUC